GACGAACGCUGGCGGCGUGCUUAACACAUGCAAGUCGAACGGAAAGGCCCUGCGUUUGUUGGUUUCUCGAUUGGCGAACGGGUGAGUAACACGUGAGUAACCUGCCCUUGACUUUGUGAUAACUUCAGGAAACUGGGGCUCAUACCGGAUAUGAUCUCCUGCUGCGUGUGGUGCAUUGGAAAGUGUCGGCGGUUGUGUAUGGUAUCGCGGCUUAUCAGCUUGUUUGUGGGGUAGUGGCUUACCAAGGCUUUGACGGGUAGCCGGCCUGAGAGGGUGAACGGGGUCCUGGGGCCUACGAUACGGAGCAGAAUGGUAUGGGAGGCAGUAGUGGGGAACAUUGCGGAGUGGCGGGAAGCGUGAUGCAGAAACGCUGCGUGCGGGAUGACGGCUUAUGGGUGAUAAACAGAUGUCGAAUGUGACGAAGAGUGAGUGACGGUAAUGGGUAAAGAAGCACCGGCUAACUACGUG
rnacentral:rRNA from 1 species